GCGUGGCUGCGCGGUUCGUCAGGAAUUCAUUCCCCGGGGCCUUAUCGAUCUCAAAGGGAGCUGUCACUGGCCAGGCUCGUGGGCUUGGUCAUCACGGCGCCCACCUACGUUGUAGGUUCCCGGGAUCGACACUUCCAACGGCCGAGGCGGCUACGCA
rnacentral:other from 1 species